rnacentral:rRNA from 1 species
AUGUCAUGGCUCGCCCGCUCCAUAGCCACCUCCCUCAACAUCCCCGAAGAUUCAGGCGCCGACGAUGACCCCGACGCCGUCGCCGCAGCCGCCUCCCAUCCCUCCGCGCGCACCCCGCCGCCGCCUCACUCGGCCGCGGCGGACGGCGUCAAGGAGGACCUCACCGAGCUAUCCAAAACCCUAAAUCGCCAAUUCUGGGGCGUCGCCAACUUCCUCGCGCCGCCGCCCGGGGAGGGCUCGCCCUCGCCUUCGCCCUCCCCUUCAUCCGCGGGGGGUCAAUCCACCGACGCGGGGACGCCCCCUGAGAUUGCCGGGAUCCAGCGCGACUUCUCCGAGUUCAGCGGGAGGUUCAGGAGCGGGAUCUCGCGGAUCUCGAGCCACAAGGCCGUCUCCGGGUUCUCCAGCAUCGCCUCCAAUUUCUUCGCCCCUGAAGACGGGGAAGAGGAGGAGUUGCUCGAGGCUGUCAACGACGAGAGGGAGGAUGAUGCGAGGCUAAAUAAGCCGGAGGAUGAGGAAGAGGCGAGGCAUGAGAGGGAGGAUGACGAGGGAAGGCAUUACUUGGAGAAGAUGGCGCGGCUUGGGGUGGCAGACGACGAGGUGAGGGAUGAGUGGGAGGAGCAAAGGGCCAGACAUCAGGCGGAUGACGACGAGGUGAGCGAUGAGUGGGAGGAGCAAAGGGUCAGACAUCGGGCGGAUGACGGCAAGGUAUGGCCUGAGGAGCAGGAGGAGGUGGAUGGCCCUGAGCUGGAACGGGCGAGGGUAAUGCAAGAGGAGGAGGUGGAGGAGGAGUGGGAUGUGAUUGGCAUCACCGACGAGGUCCUCACAUUCGCCACCAACAUUGCCAGGCACCCGGAGACCUGGCUUGACUUUCCCCUGCUACCUGACGAAGAGGAGUCUGAUGGCCCAUUCUCAUAUUUUGACAUGUCUGAUGCUCAGCAAGAGCAUGCUUUGGCUAUUGGGCACCUUGCUCCUACAUUAGCUGCUUUGCGGAUUGAACUAUGCCCAAUCCAUAUGAGCGAAGAAUGCUUUUGGAAAAUUUAUUUUGUUCUUCUACAUCCUAGACUGAGCAAGCAUGACGCUGAACUACUGUCCACACCACAGAUUGUGGAAGCUAGAGCAAUGCUUAUGCAACACCAGUCAAAGCAACAUGCAACAGAGCAGUUACGUCGCCAUAAAGAUGACUUUGGAACGCAUUCGGAAGAUGACAGCUCCAAGGACGUCAUGGAGGCGUUCCCAUCUGUGCGACAACAUGCAGCUUCGAUCACCCCCAUAACAGAUUUUGAGAUUGAAAAACAUCCUAUCCAAGGAACUGAAGUCACAGUGGUGGACAAAACAGUCAUCAAAGAGCAACUGAGGGAGGAUGGUAGCAAGGCCUCAAAUGUUAUGCAAGAAACAUUUGAUGACGACAUAGACGAUUGGUUUGACGAGGAGGCCGAUCUCGCUGGGCACACCACCAUUCUCAUAGGCGACGAGGAAGAUGUGUCAUUCAGUGAUUUGGAGGAUGACGAUGAUACGAAAUGA